AGGUCAGAGCCACAGCCUUCAAGAAGGUAGGAGGGCCCUCAGGUCAGAGCCACAGCCUUCAAGAAGGUAGGAGGGCCCUCAGGUCAGAGCUAGAGCCUUCAAGAAGGUAGGAGGGCCCUCAGGUCAGAGCUAGAGCCUUCAAGAAGGUAGGAGGGCCCUCAGGUCAGAGCCACAGCCUUCAAGAAGGUAGGAGGGCCCUCGGGUCAGAGCCACAGCCUUCAAGAAGGUACGAGGGCCCUCACUAAGACCUAGAACCCCACCCAUACAGGGUUCAGGGGCCAAGGCAGAUACUAGGGAGGAAGAGAUUGACCAUAUCCAUAUAAUGGCCGAUGGCCACUGUAUAUAUGUGUAUGCAUGUAUGUGUGUGUAUAUAAGAGAUAGAC
ensembl:lncRNA